rnacentral:rRNA from 1 species
AUUGAACGCUGGCGGCGUGCCUAAUACAUGCAAGUCGAACGAAGUGGCUCACGGGUGAGUAAUAAAUAGUUAAUCUGCCCUACACAGAGGAACAACAGUUGGAAACGACUGCUACUACCUCAUAGUGUAGGAUGAUACGAUAUCGUAUCAGCUAGUAGGUAAGGUAAUGGCGUACCAAGGCGAUGACGCGUAACUGGUCUGAGGGGAUGAUCAGUCACAUUGGAACUGAGGCACGGUCCAAAAACCUACGGGAGGGAGCGGAAAGCGAUAAUGCGCAAGGGGGGUAACUCAGGAGGAGCAUCGCGUCGUGGAGUAUGACACGUUGCGAGGCAGACAUUCCGUUUAUCAAGAAAGCGGUACCUGCUGAAUAAGCACCGGCUAACUCCGUGCCAGCAGCCGCGGUAAUUC